rnacentral:lncRNA from 1 species
GUGACUUGCAAGCAACUCACUACACUUAGGCACUGAACUACCUGAAUUUUUAAUUCAGUGACGGAAGGCUGCUGGGUGUAGUCAAGUACUUGACUUGUCGGUGCGUGUGUCAAGAUGGGAUUGACCACUCUAGUUUAGGAGCUGUGUAUAGUCAUAUUUUAAUUUAGCAAAACCUUGGCCAAGGUAGUCCUAGUGAGGAGUCACAGGACUAUUUGAGUUGAGCAUAAUUCGGAUGAUCUGAUCAGGGUUGACAGUUUAACCCUGAGUCAUCCUAAAUACAAGGGUCAAAAGGAUGAAUUAUACAGUAAUCAUAUUUACGUAGGUUCUGAGUAUUGUGAUUGUGACUAUUCGAUCUAUCCAGACAUCGGGUACCAUUGCUAGAUGGUCACUUCGAUUAGUACAGGAAUUGGUUCCUAUGCUACCGGCUUAGGUUCGAACCUGCGGGGUCACAUACAUUAGAGGUUCCUAUCUGAUCUGAUAGUUGGUGAAGAGUCCUUCAUGUCUGAGAUUCUGUGAUCGAGAAUCAAGAUUCUCUGAUCAUGAAUUCCACACAUUUUGGGUAUCGGGG